ACACGACUACAUUAGAUACCCCCGUAGUCCUAGCCGUAAACGAUACUCGCUAGGUGUCGGCCACGGUGCGACCGUUGUCGGUGCCGUAGGGAAGCCGUGAAGCGAGCCACCUGGGAAGUACGGCCGCAAGGCUGAAACUUAAAGGAAUUGGCGGGGGAGCACCACAACGGGUGGAGCUUGCGGUUUAAUUGGAUUCAACGCCGGAAAUCUUACCGGGACCGACAGCAACAUGAAGGCCAGGCUGAAGACCCUGCAUGACCAGCUG
rnacentral:rRNA from 1 species